rfam:Callithrix jacchus chromosome 4, whole genome shotgun sequence
CAAAAGGCCCUUUUCAGGGCCACCUCCUUCCUCACGAAGGGCCGU